rnacentral:rRNA from 1 species
AUUGAACGCUGGCGGCAUGCCUUACACAUGCAAGUCGAACGGCAGCACGGGGGCAACCCUGGUGGCGAGUGGCGAACGGGUGAGUAAUACAUCGGAACGUGUCCGGUAGUGGGGGAUAGCCCGGCGAAAGCCGGAUUAAUACCGCAUACGACCUAAGGGUGAAAGCGGGGGAUCGCAAGACCUCGCGCUAGUGGAGCGGCCGAUGUCAGAUUAGGUUGUUGGUGGGGUAAAGGCCUACCAAGCCGACGAUCUGUAGCUGGUCUGAGAGGACGACCAGCCACACUGGGACUGAGACACGGCCCAGACUCCUACGGGAGGCAGCAGUGGGGAAUUUUGCGCAAUGGGGGAAACCCUGACGCAGCAACGCCGCGUGGAGGAUGAAGGUCUUUGGAUUGUAAACUCCUUUCGAUCGGGACGAUAAUGACGGUACCGGAAGAAGAAGCACCGGCUAACUCUGUGCCAGCCGCCGCCGUAAU